AUUGAACGCUGGCGGCAGGCCUAACACAUGCAAGUCGAGCGGAUGAGUGGAGCUUGCUCCAUGAUUCAGCGGCGGACGGGUGAGUAAUGCCUAGGAAUCUGCCUGGUAGUGGGGGACAACGUUUCGAAAGGAACGCUAAUACCGCAUACGUCCUAGGGGAGAAAGCAGGGGACCUUCGGGCCUUGCGCUAUCAGAUGAGCCUAGGUCGGAUUAGCUAGUAGGUGAGGUAAUGGCUCACCUAGGCGACGAUCCGUAACUGGUCUGAGAGGAUGAUCAGUCACACUGGAACUGGGACACGGUCCAGACUCCUACGGUAGGCAGCAGUGGGGAAUAUUGGACAAUGGGCGAAAGCCUGAUCCAGCCAUGCCGCGUGUGUGAAGAAGGUCUUCGGAUUGUAAAGCACUUUAAGUUGGGAGGAAGGGCAGUAAGUUAAUACCUUGCUGUUUUGACGUUACCAGCAGAAUAAGCACCGGCUAACUUCGUGCCAGCAGCCGCAGUAAUAC
rnacentral:rRNA from 1 species